CAUAGAUUAAAUUUCGUAUCGGUUGCGCACGUGUGCGCGGAAAGGAACGCAAAGAGAAGCGUGGAAAUCAGCUGGCACGAUAGUUCUUCGCCGAGGCGUCUCGAGUACGCGCUCUAACGUUCGAGCUUCGUGACGCGAGUGCUACGAGUACUGUUCUUUGGGCAGUAGCGUCGAGACGCGCGUACAGUUACGAUCGUCUAACUCCGAGUUUUCUUCAUCCCUUUUAUUCUAAACGUCAUUUAAAGAGAAAGAGAAAAAAAGAGAGAGAGAGAGAGAGAGAAAGAGGGAGGAAGGGUGGGAGAGAGAGAGAGAGAGAGAGAAAGAGAAAGAGAAAGAAAAAGACAAAAUUAAAAUAUUUUCAGAACAGUGAUGAGACAAUUUGAGAAGUGAAAAAGAAAGAAAAUUAUUUUCGGAUCAAACAGUAGAAGCUCUUCGGAAAAUUGCGAACGUGACAAAAUGCUUUGAAGGACUUCACGGAAGAGAAAGGAACGUUUUCGCCAUUGAAGUUCUUAAUAUUGUCGUCGAAGAGGAAAAAGUUCUCUCUCUCUCUCUCUCUUUCUUUCUCUUCUUCUCUCUUUCUCUUUCUCUCUCUCUCUCUCUCUCUUUUUCUCUCACACUAUUUUAUUCUCUCUUCUUUUUUUUUUUUUUUUUCUAAGAUUUAUCCUUCAAGAACUAAAGUUCAUCUUCGAAUUCCUAUCAAGCAGAUCGUCUGACAUAAUAUCCGUCCGUAUUCUUCUGCCAUUAAUCGUCAGCUGAAUGUGUCCGAUUUACGAAUCCUACUAACUUUCCUUCUUAAAGUAAUCUAUCAGUGAAACCUUCCUAGAAGAAAACUUUACUUCUCUUCUUUCACGUGAAUUUCUAAGGACACGUGAGACAUUACUGUUUUUCUCCCUGAAACGAAGCUUUUUCACAAGAGAGACAAGUGUAUCUUAUUGAGAGAAAGAAAAAAAGCGAGAGAGAGAGAGAGAGAGAGAGAGAGAGAGAGAGAGGAAAAAAAGAGA